CAGAAUGUCCCCUACCCUUAAACUUAGUUACCUCCUGGAUGCAAGGACUCUGCAGAUUUCAUCAGUGGUUUUCAGAAUAGGCAAAAGGGCAUCUGAAAAUUGUCAGUUGUUCAUUACAGUGUGCUGGAAAUCCACGGUGCCUCCUAUAGAGCAAGCCGAGGGUAUUAACAACCAAGCAUUUCCUUAGUUGGAGUUUUCACUAUCAGUGCAUUGGACACCUGCUUUCAGGAGCUCAAACCACU